CAAAAUGUAAAAUGUGUGCAAUAUAUUUUAUAAUGUUGAUGAUAUAAAUUUUCUUAAUGGCAUUCAUAAAAGUCAGUGUGAGUGCAAAGAAACAACUUUUGCACAAUGCUCAUGGUGAUAGAUAGUAACUUAUAUCAUGCGAUAUAUAUAAAGCUCAUUGAUUGCCUGCAUAUCAGCUCCAACUUUUGUGACCCAAUUCUAUUUAUUUAUGUGGAGACCCAGAAUUCGGGUCAGAUACAAGGUUUCACUCCCCCACUUCAUCGAAAAUUACGAAAGGAAUUUGAACGGAGUGACAACUUAAAAAGAAAAACAAACAAUUAAGGUGUCGUACUACUCGGCUCGGAGAACCUUGUUCUCCACAACAUAAAGAAAGAACAGUAAAC
rnacentral:lncRNA from 1 species